rnacentral:tRNA from 1 species
AUUAUUUUGGCAGAAUAGUGCAUUGGAUUUAGAAUUCAAAUAUGUAAAUAAAUUACAGAUAAUA